CUCACCAAUUGUUCUAACACCUUGGAAUCCUUUAGGCUCGAGGAAUUGCAAGCUCGUGCCAGAUCUUCAAGUGUGCGUAAAGUGUACUGAACGAUAUUGGUUGACGUGAUGAGCGUGUGUUCGGCGACGGCAGCGGCGUCGUCACGGCCGGGGCGGCGGGAGUCUCGGAGCUCAAGCACGCGCGGCAGCACGACCGAGCAGCAAUUCUACAUUGGCAAAAGUGGCCUCAAGCCCCUCAACGAGAGCACGAUGUCUACAACCAGACCCUCUUCCAACUCAAACUUAUGCUGCGUCAUGUCCGUUCUUCUUUCCUGCAUUAUGGUUGGCUGGUGUGAACUAGGACACGAUUUCAUUGGUUGAAACAUGAUCAUUAGAAAACAAUGGUUAAAUGUUUUAAAGUUUAUGCUCAAAAUGCCAUUGACUUAUGUGUUCCACAUCUGUACACAAAUAUAAUCAGAAUCAAAUGUUUUAACAGUAUUUUCUUUAAAUAUUACGGAUGUUUUGUCAGGACAAUGACUUUAAGAGACGUGUGUGCAAUUGUAUAUGCAUACAGGUUUUAAGUUAUUUCUACCAGCUGACAAUCUUGAUACUUAAUAUUUUGAAUACACAAAUGGGCACAAACAUAUGCAUGCUUCAGAAUCCGUGUUUUCUAUCAUUGUAUGACAUCAAUUAUGUGAUUAGGAUAUAUUGAGUAUGCUUUUUUAGUGUGACAGUAGCUAUGCACUAAUCGAAUACACAGGAGGGUGAAAUGUUGUUUAUGUUUUAAACAGUAGAUUUCAUUAGUGUUAAGUGUGCGGACUUUAAUAUAUCUGUUUUCUUUUAUUCGAUGGGAUCGUUAAUGCCUAAUUUAGAAGUUAACACUGUGGGCAUGUCUUCGUAAUUGAUAGUUGUUCAUACAUGUUCUAAGGACAUUUCAGUACCAUGUUUAAUAAUGACUCGGCCAAUAUUUGCAUAUUGUAUAUUAAAUACGUAUCCCAAAGAAGCCGGACGGUUUAAAGGUUUUAUUAUUAUGUUUUUUGAUGAUGUUUUUCGAAACCUGUUCCAUUAUAUAAUACUAUUUUGGGACCUUUUCGAAACGUCCUUAUUAACAAAAUCGGUCCGAAAUGCUGUUUGUGUAUGUAACUGAUUAUGGCACAAUUCUUUUGUUGUAUCGUGAUAUUUUAAAAACAAACAUCUGAGGG